ensembl:misc_RNA
CUGACAGCCCCCGGGGCUCUGAGUCUCCAUUGAUCCACUGUGCACGCACAGCACAGACAGGAGCAGUGCGAGCUUCUCACUACCACCAGUAUGCCUCAGCACAGAUGUGGGGGAUCAGGUCUAAGGCAGACAGAACAGCUCAGCUUUCAUAUUUACCCAGUCCUUAGUUAUU